CAAAUAUAGCUCAAUUGGUAGAGCAUUGGAUUUCCAUUCCAAGGGUUGCGGGUUCAAGCCCCGUUAUUUG
rnacentral:tRNA from 1 species